CAGUCACCCAUGGGCGCUAAUUGGUAGCAGGACCUACCGUGCUGGGCAUGCUCAUACAGGGGAAAACCUCCUUGAAACCGUGUUUUCAUACUGUAGUUGGACCAGCUCAGGCCUGCUCUGCUCCAAGGUUCGGUGUUAAAGUUCAUGCCAAACUAGAACUCACCUACAAAGCUGACAAAGAGAGAAGAUUGAAAAGUGAGGAAAUUUGGUCAACUUUACAACCUUUCUCAGUCAGAAACACCUUAGGAUACAUUCAGUUCUUUAAUUUGGGAAGAGGGCGUGUGAGAAUAGGUUUGAAAGCAAAAAUCAUCCUAGCACUGACUGCCUGA
rnacentral:lncRNA from 1 species